CCUACGGGAGGCAGCAGUGAGGAAUAUUGGUCAAUGGACGAGCGUCUGAACCAGCCAAGUAGCGUGCAGGAUGACUGCCCUAUGGGUUGUAAACUUCUUUUAUAUGGGAAUAAAAUGUUCCACGUGUGGGAUUUUGUAUGUACCAUAUGAAUAAGGAUCGGCUAACUCCGUGCCAGCAGCCGCGGUAAUACGGAGGACCCGAGCGUUAUCCGGAUUUAUUGGGUUUAAAGGGAGCGUAGGUGGAUUGUUAAGUCAGUUGUGAAAGUUUGCGGCUCAACCGUAAAAUUGCAGUUGAAACUGGCAGUCUUGAGUACAGUAGAGGUGGGCGGAAUUCGUGGUGUAGCGGUGAAAUGCUUAGAUAUCACGAAGAACUCCGAUUGCGAAGGCAGUUCACUGGACUGCAACUGACACUGAGGCUCGAAAGUGUGGGUAUCAAACAGGAUUAGAUACCCCUGUAGUC
rnacentral:rRNA from 1 species